GGAUGUGAGGGCAAUCUGGCUGCGACAUCUGUCACCCCAUUGAUCGCCAGGGUUGAUUUGGCUGAUCUGGCUGGCUAGGCAGGUGUUCCUUUCCUCCCUCACUGCUCCAUGUGCAUCCCUCCCGAAGCUUUGCGCUGGGUCGAAGAGGAGGACCAUACUCAAUAGAGGAGGACCCGUCUUCGGUCAAGGGUAUAUGAAUAGCUGCACUCCCCUGCCAGAACCCCCAAACAAGUUCUCAAGUACUAACCUCCAGUACCUGUGAAUGCUGACCUUAUUUGGAAGUAGAAUCUUUGCAGAGUAAUUAGUUUGUAUGAUGUCAUACUGGAUUAGGGU
rnacentral:snRNA from 1 species